UGUGGGACAACGUUCCGAAAGGGGCGCUAAUACCGCAUACGUCCUACGGGAGAAAGUGGGGGAUCUUCGGACCUCACGCUAUCAGAUGAGCCUAGGUCGGAUUAGCUAGUUGGUGAGGUAAUGGCUCACCAAGGCGACGAUCCGUAACUGGUCUGAGAGGAUGAUCAGUCACACUGGAACUGAGACACGGUCCAGACUCCUACGGGAGGCAGCAGUGGGGAAUAUUGGACAAUGGGCGAAAGCCUGAUCCAGCCAUGCCGCGUGUGUGAAGAAGGUCUUCGGAUUGUAAAGCACUUUAAGUUGGGAGGAAGGGCAGUAAGUUAAUACCUUGCUGUUUUGACGUUACCGACAGAAUAAGCACCGGCUAACUCUGUGCCAGCAGCCGCGGUAAUACAGAGGGUGCAAGCGUUAAUCGGAAUUACUGGGCGUAAAGCGCGCGUAGGUGGUUCGUUAAGUUGGAUGUGAAAGCCCCAGGUUCACCUUGGGAACUGCAUCCAAAACUGGCGAGCUAGAGUAUGGUAGAGGGUGGUGGAAUUUCCUGUGUAGCGGUGAAAUGCGUAGAUAUAGGAAGGAACACCAGUGGCGAAGGCGACCACCUGGACUGAUACUGACACUGAGGUGCGAAAGCGUGGGGAGCAAACAGAUUAGAUACCCUGGUAGUCCACGCCGUAACGAUGUCAACUAGCCGUUGGAAUCCUUGAGAUUUUAGUGGCGCAGCUAACGCAUUAAGUUGACCGCCUGGGGAGUACGGCCGCAAGGUUAAAACUCAAUGAAUUGACGGGGGCCCGCACAAGCGGUGGAGCAUGUGGUUAAUUCGAAGCAACGCGAAGACCUUACCAGGCCUGACAUGCAGAGAACUUUCAGAGAUGGAUUGGUGCCUUCGGGAACUCUGACACAGGUGCUGCAUGGCUGUCGUCAGCUCGUGUCGUGAGAUGUUGGGUUAAGUCCCGUAACGAGCGCAACCCUUGUCCUUAGUUACCAGCACGUUAUGGUGGGCACUCUAAGGAGACUGCCGGUGACAAACCGGAGGAAGGUGGGGAUGACGUCAAGUCAUCAUGGCCCUUACGGCCUGGGCUACACACGUGCUACAAUGGUCGGUACAGAGGGUUGCCAAGCCGCGAGGUGGAGCUAAUCUCACAAAACCGAUCGUAGUCCGGAUCGCAGUCUGCAACUCGACUGCGUGAAGUCGGAAUCGCUAGUAAUCGCGAAUCAGAAUGUCGCGGUGAAUACGUUCCCGGGCCUUG
rnacentral:rRNA from 1 species